rnacentral:tRNA from 1 species
GGGGUUGCAUGUACUAAGGUAGCGAGGGAGGUUUGCACCUUUCCUGUUGAGAGUUCGAUUCUCUCCGGCUCCA